UACGGAGGGGGCUAGCGUUGUUCGGAAUUACUGGGCGUAAAGCGCACGUAGGCGGCUUUGCAAGUCAGAGGUGAAAGCCCGGGGCUCAACCCCGGAAUAGCCUUUGAGACUGCAUCGCUAGAAUUGUGGAGAGGUAAGUGGAAUUCCGAGUGUAGAGGUGAAAUUCGUAGAUAUUCGGAAGAACACCAGUGGCGAAGGCGACUUACUGGACACAUAUUGACGCUGAGGUGCGAAAGCGUGGGUAGCAAACAGG
rnacentral:rRNA from 1 species